UGCGUGGUUUCAGUGGGCUCGCUUGGUGGGACUUAUGGAAAAUCCGAACUGGAUCCAAGUAGAUUGAAGUCUAUAGGUAGCUGGGACACGUUUUUACUGAAAUCUUGUGUCAAUGUCCCCUCACAAUGACCAUCAAUGUCCCUCACACUAAACCUCAAGGAAAUAGGUGUUUUGGGUUGCAACAUCCUGCAUUAAAAUACAGCAUCCAUUUCUGGCUGUGUGGGGAGGCCAAGAUGAUGACACUUCAGAGAAGCUUGAAUGGGGGAGAAGUUGAGGGUUAAUAGGAAUAAAAAAUGAGGAAAUACACUGGUGGGACCUCUAUUUAUUUUUAGACUAAAUAGCCUAUACAGCAACUUUCUCUUGAGCAUUAGCAGUCUCAGUGAGGUGAAAUGUUGAUGUCAAUCACAAGCUACCUUCUGAAUCAUAGCCCAUUUAAAAAUAAUAUAUUGUUGUUGAACAGUUAGAUAUACGGUCAUGUGAAAAAGUGAGUACACCCACUUGAAAUUAAUAUUUUUU